rnacentral:lncRNA from 10 species
UCUACCCAAGGGGCUCUUUGUUUGUGCUGCUAUCCUCUAAGCUUGAUAAACAGCCUCCAUUCUGCUCCCUCAACAACAUGGCUGAUUUCUCCUGCUGAUGCCUGCACAACACCCUCUUGCAAACUGCAAAGAAUAAGAAAGAAGGAGCUAUAAAGCUCAGAGAGGUGACGUGACCUGUCCAAAAUCACAUACCUACGACAAGGUUUUGAGAAUCAGGAAUUGGAAAUGGCUUAGCUGAGUGGUUAUGGCUUGGGGUCUUUCUUGAAGUUGCAGUCAAGAUGUUGGCCUGGGCUGCAGUCAUCUGAAGGUUGGACUGGUGCUGGAAGAUCUGCUUCCAAGAUGGCACACUGCAUGGUUAUUGGUAGAACGCCUUAGUUCCUCACCAUGAGAGCCUCUCCAGAGGGCUACUUGAGUGUCCUCAUGACAUGAAAGCUGGCCUCCCCCACAGAGUGAGUGCUUCAGAGAGAGCAAGGAGAAAGUCAAAUACUUUUCAUGAUCUGCACCAUCACACACCACUGCUUCUGUCACAUUCUCUUCAUUAUAAUCAAGUCAUUAAGUUCAGCUCACAUUCAAGGGGAGGAGACUUAGGCUUCACCUGUUGGAGGGAGUAGUAUCAACAAAUUUGUGGACAUACUUUAAAACUCUCACACUACUCUAGGAAGGAAGG